AACGUAGGAGGCGAGCGUUAUCCGGAGUUACUGGGCGUAAAGGGCCAGUAGGCGGCCAACUAAGUCGGACGUGAAAUCCCCCGGCUUAACCUGGGAACUGCGUCUGAUACUGGAGGGCUUGAGUGCGGGAGAGGGAUGUGGAAUUCCAGGUGUAGCGGUGAAAUGCGUAGAUAUCUGGAGGAAUACCGGUGGCGAAGGCGGCAUCCUGGACCGGCAUUGACGCUGAGGAGCGAAAGCCAGGGGAGCAAAGCGGG
rnacentral:rRNA from 1 species